GCAUGGCAAAACAAACAAACAAAAAAGUAAGAACAAUAAGGAUAAUUUAUUUUAAAAAGCUAAAAAGUAUAAAAGUCCUUUCAAAUUUUCUAGAGCAAAGAGAUAUUUAGCAUGGAGUUUGGGGGCCUUGUGAUGUUCGCUAUGAUGUGGGAGAUCCCCUAAGGCCAACUUGCCCAGGGCCUGGCCCAGGUGUGUCCUCUAAUGACUGUGAGGACUUGUCAUUUGGGCAAAGCCUGAGUCCCAGCCCACCUGCUGCCGUGUUUCUGAGGUUGCCUAGCUGUCCCAGUUUGAUCCAGGCAUCACCCAGGCCCCAACACUCUACAGCAAGUUCCUCACGAGGUCAUCUAGGAACCACCUGCAGCAUUUGGAACUCUUGUUUAAAAUGCAUCUUCCUGGGCCUCAGGACCUACUGGAUCAGGUUAUCUAGGCAGGGCCCCAGGAAGCUGUACUUAGAACCAGCUCCCAGGUGAUUCUGAUACACAGUAAGCUAUAUACCAGCGCUUGAGAGCGCAUGCUUCCUGUUUGGCAUAGAGCUGAGCUGAACUAGUGAGAAGCAGGUCUCAGGAUAGGAAGCAGGACGCUGUGAGGUUCAUGGCAGAGAACUGGGCCAGAGCCAGGACCCAGGGAAGAUGUCUAGGACAGGAAGGGCAGCAGGCCCAGCAAACAUUUGUUUACCAAUAACUCGCUUUUCCUUGGUUGCUUUCCUCUCCUUGGAGGUUUCAAACCACUACCCCAAACAUCCUCUCUUGUCUUUAGGUGAAGAUGAUAUUUAAGUUACUUCUGGAUGCCAGACUGAGGAUUCCUUCAGUGCUGACACUGACAUUAAGGGAAUAAUCCUGGUUUCAGCGUUGGAAAGCUGAGCCUCUAUGUACCCUUAGAUGUGAUUAAAUGCCACUCCGUCUCUCCACACAGCCAGCCAAGCAAGCAGAGCUGAGUCCUAACCUUCCUCGGUCCCAACCAUCUGUUUCUCUAAAUAUGUUACUUUCAUCCCCAAAGACCAACUCUCAGACCAGACGGAGUGAGCUGGCCAGGGCAGGAAGCCCAUCUCCUCCCUCAGCAUCCGCCCAGGCCUGGCCUCCCGGGCUCUCACUCGUAGAAUAGCUCCAUCCUUCUCUGAGUCACCUCCCAGACACUCACCCUUUUAGUCUGCGCCAAAGGAGCCAAGCCCCAAGCAUGAUACCCCUGGCAGCUCAGCUGGGCUGGGUGUGUGGCAGAGCUGCCUGGAGGGGCCCUCUGCCUUCCAGAAGCCAUCCUGAUGUCAAUCAUCUGAGAUGCAGGACGACCCGCCAUUGGAACACCCAGGCCCAGAGCCCAGAGAACAUCGUUGAUUACUGAGACGCCUAGGCUCCCGAGGCCAGCUGCUGAGGAUUUUCUACACCCAGACGUUCAAAACAAAAAAGCAUUCUUAUUUUCACGUGGAUUCCAUCAUGGCACUGUGCAGGAGCCUCUUGGGAAGCAAAGAAUCAAGAAUCUGACCCCUUUCACUUUAAGAAUGAAUUUUCUUUAACAAGAUCUGUGGCCUGGGGCACCCUGCCUGAGAUGAGAAGAUAACCCAGGAGAGCCCAGGGAACUCCCUGGAAGGGAACCGGGAGGCUGGGCCACAAACGCAGCCACAACACCAGCAUGGAGGGGACCAGUUCUGGGCAUUAUGUGACCCAGAGGCUGCAGACGUCUCCCAGCACACCAGCCCCACUGGCUGUGUGUGCUAGCGUGACCAUGCUACACACUGCCAUCCGUUCAUUCAGGCAUGUUUACUGCACUGUUCUGUUACUGCUAGGCUCUGACCUAGCUGUGGGAAACAGCGAUGAAAAAUAAAUAAAUACCCGAUCUUAUGGGAGCUUGUUCAUUAGGGGUCCCUGUGUGAUCCUCUGUCUUAGCAAUAAGCUGCUCUUUCCUCUGGUACAGGGAGGGCAACUCGCAUGAGGGUCUUAUGAGCUGCUUCAGGAGAGAAGGGUGGGGGAAGGUCAGAGUGGACGUCCUGCUUCUGCCCUUUUCUCAGAUUCCUUCAGCUUAACAUAUUCCAUGUACCAACAUGCUGUAUUUGGGGGUAGCCUGUUCUGAACCCUGCCAGUACUUAGGAGAAAUUUGAGUACAGCAAUCACAUAAUCUAACUUUUGUUUUAUUUAAAAUUUUAAUUAAAAAUU